rnacentral:rRNA from 1 species
UACGGAAGGCAGCAGUGGGGAAUAUUGCACAAUGGGCGCAAGCCUGAUGCAGCCAUGCCGCGUGUAUGAAGAAGGCCUUCGGGUUGUAAAGUACUUUCAGCGGGGAGGAAGGCGAUGCGGUUAAUAACCGCGUCGAUUGACGUUACCCGCAGAAGAAGCACCGGCUAACUCCGUGCCAGCAGCCGCGGUAAUACGGAGGGUGCAAGCGUUAAUCGGAAUUACUGGGCGUAAAGCGCACGCAGGCGGUCUGUUAAGUCAGAUGUGAAAUCCCCGGGCUUAACUUGGGAACUGCAUUUGAAACUGGCAGGCUUGAGUCUUGUAGAGGGGGUAGAAUUCCAGGUGUAGCGGUGAAAUGCGUAGAGAUCUGGAGGAAUACCGGUGCGAAGGCGGCCCCUGGGACAAGACUGACGCUCAGGUGCGAAAGCGUGGGGAGCAAACAGGAUUAGAUACC